AGCCUACGGGGGGCAGCAGUGGGGGAUAUUGCACAAUGGGGGAAACCCUGACGCAGCGACGCCGCGUGGGCGAAGAGGUAUUUCGGUAUGUAAAGCCCUAUCAGCAGGGAAGAAGAAAUGACGGUACCUGACUAAGAAGCCCCGGCUAACUACGUGCCAGCAGCCGCGGUAAUACGUAGGGGGCAAGCGUUAUCCGGAUUUACUGGGUGUAAAGGGAGCGUAGGCGGCAGUGCAAGUCAGAAGUGAAAGCCCGGGGCUCAACUCCGGGACUGCUUUUGAAACUGUACAGCUUGAUUGCAGGAGAG
rnacentral:rRNA from 1 species